GAUGAAGAACGCAGCGAAAUGCGAUAAGUAAUGUGAAUUGCAGAAUUGAGUGAAUCAUCGAAUCUUUGAACGCACAUUGCGCCCGCCAGCAUUCUGGCGGGCAUGCCUGUUCGAGCGUCAUUUCAACCCUCGACCUCCCCUUGGGGAAGUCGGCGUUGGGGACCGGCAGUAUACCGCCGGCCCCGAAAUGGAGUGGCGGCCCGUCCGCGGCGACCUCUGCGUAGUAAUCCAACCUCGCACCGGAACCCCGACGUGGCCACGCCGUAAAACCCCCAACUUUCUGAACGUUGACCUCGGAUCAGGUAGGAAUACCCGCUGAACUUAAGCAUAUCAAUAAGCGGAGGA
rnacentral:misc_RNA from 1 species